GACGAACGCUGGCGGCGUGCUUAACACAUGCAAGUCGAACGGUGAAGCUCCAGCUUGCUGGCGUGGAUCAGUGGCGAACGGGUGAGUAACACGUGAGCAACCUGCCCCAGACUCUGGAAUAAGCGCUGGAAACGGCGUCUAAUACUGGAUACGAGAUCAAGCCGCAUGGUUAUGGUCUGGAAAGUUUUUCGGUUUGGGAUGGGCUCGCGGCCUAUCAGCUUGUUGGUGAGGUAAUGGCUCACCAAGGCGACGACGGGUAGCCGGCCUGAGAGGGCGACCGGCGACACUGGGACUGAGACACGGCCCAGACUCCUACGGGAGGCAGCAGUGGGGAAUAUUGCACAAUGGGCGAAAGCCUGAUGCAGCGACGCCGCGUGAGGGAUGACGGCCUUCGGGUUGUAAACCUCUUUCAGCAGGGAAGAAGCGAAAGUGACGGUACCUGCAGAAGAAGCACCGGCUAACUACGUG
rnacentral:rRNA from 1 species